GCCAGAUAAAAAUUCCUGGUGGUUUCAGACCGUCCGAGUACACGUGCGACCCUCCCCCUCCACAAUGCCUGUCCUGUUGCUCUUUCCUUUGCUUUUGCUUGGUGCUAGUUCAAUUGAGUGAUUGACUCCCACACCGCUACACGUAUAGUGUUCGUCCGGUCUCAAAAAUAGUCUCGCUCAAAAUCUAAAAUCAGAUCACUCAUCGUAAAAACGUUUCUUUUAAAUUGUGCUUCUCUUCUCGUAAUGGAAUUUUCAAGGUAUCGUGAGUGAAUCCUCGCUAAAAGUAAUCGUGGUGAGAAAGGCAAUACCCGAAUGAAAUAACGCCUCCUCUACUUCGUGAAAUUGCAGCCCAAGAAUGUCACGCUGAAGUCGAGCAGAUGGAUUUCCAGUUUCCCACUUCCCAACUUGUUUAUAAUGAGCUUACGAGUCUUCGAACGUCAAUAUUUUGUGGUCUCUCCAACAUUUGUGAAGGCGGUGCACUAAGACAGAAGAUUUUCACUCUAUUGCGUCAGAGGUGUUCAUAAAUUUACAGACCCACACUUCAUCACGGUAAAAUCUCUCCAAGUACUUCCUGCUCUCAGAAUCAAUUGUGAACGAAUCGAAUUUUUGUCUAUUGUCUCAAUUUUCAAAGUGGACGGUUGCAGUAUCCGUCCUCACCACUAAUAGUAGCAGUCGCCAUAUGGGCGGUUUUUAGUAAAAUCAGUCUAACUGCAAUACUGCAUUCCACGUUGCCGAUUUAAUUGAAGCUCUCAGACAACGGCCCAACUCGGGUUGAUUACGAUGUUAAUUUUUUUGCGUAGGAACACUUCUUUCUUAGCUAUUACGCAGUUUUUAUCUUCUCCUAAAAAAUUUCAUUUUUUCGAGAUGUAUCGUUUUCGAACUGAGAGAUUCGACUCUUUCUGAUAUUUUGUCAGCUUAUACCAAAAACUAAGGAACUAAGGAAGAAUCUGUGUAGAGAAAAUUAAAGUAGGAGAGGAGGAAGAACAAACAGAGGGAGGAGAAGAGGAGAGAACAUGGAAAAAGGAGGAAGAAAACGAGAAAGAAAGAAGAGAAAGAAGAAUCGGAAGAAAAGAAGAGAGAGAACAGGAAGAAGCUAGACAAGAGAGGAGAAAGAGGAGCAGGAAGAAGAGAGAGGAAAAAGGAGGACAGGACGAAGAGAGAGAAUAGGGGGCUUGAGAAAGAGGGAAGGAAGUUAGAGAAAAGAAGGAUGGCAAGAAGAGAGAGAAGAAUGGAAAGAGGAGGAAAAUAAAAAGAAAAGGAAGAAGAGAAUAAAGAGGAGAGGAAAGAGAGAUGGAGGAAGAAUUCGAGGAAGAAGAAGAAGGUUGAAGAGAGUAAAAUAAGGAUAAGAAGAAAAAGAGAAAGAAGAUGAAGAAGAGUAAGGAAAAGAAAAGAGAAAGAAGAAGUAAAGAUGUGAGAAGGAUGAAAAGAAGAGAGAAACGAUGAAGAUCAAAAAUAGCAAGGAGAGGGAAGGUGGGACAAAAAAGAAGAUAAGGAAGAAGAAGCAGCACACAUUCUGCAUAAGAACAUUGAUGGUACCUGCGCUGUUUUAAAAAUGAGCCUAAAAUAUUGAUUCCUUAUUGCAAAAUAUAGUUUUACAUAAUCAGAAAUGAAGUAAUGUUACCUAAGAUUUCAGUGUUUUAAUUCCUGAGUGGCAUUAGGAUAUAUCUGACAUACGACGGCGAAACUACUACACCGCGUAUCUCGUUUCGAA